GACGAACGCUGGCGGCAUGCCUAACACAUGCAAGUCGAACGAGAUCUUCGGGUCUAGUGGCGCACGGGUGCGUAUCGCGUGGGAAUCUGCCCUUUGGUUCGGAAUAACAGUUGGAAACGACUGCUAAUACCGGAUGAUGACGAAAGUCCAAAGAUUUAUCGCCAGAGGAUGAGCCCGCGUAGGAAUAGCUAGUUGGUGUGGUAAAGGCGCACCAAGGCGACGAUCCUUAGCUGGUCUGAGAGGAUGAUCAGCCACACUGGGACUGAGACACGGCCCAGACUCCUACGGGAGGCAGCAGUGGGGAAUAUUGGACAAUGGGCGAAAGCCUGAUCCAGCAAUGCCGCGUGAGUGAUGAAGGCCUUAGGGUUGUAAAGCUCUUUUACCCGGGAUGAUAAUGACAGUACCGGGAGAAUAAGCUCCGGCUAACUCCGUGCCAGCCGCCGCCGUAA
rnacentral:rRNA from 1 species